rnacentral:lncRNA from 1 species
GAAAAACUGAUGAAAUUUUGAAAAUUUAACUCCAGUGAAAUAGAAAAUCUUAAAGACAUUGACAAAUUUCUAAAGACAUAUGACCUACCCAAACCAAAUAGGAGGACAGUUGCAAUUUAAACAGAUCAAUUUUAAGCAAUGCAAUAGAAGAUGACAUCAAAAGCCUAAAACAAAGAAAAACCCAGGACCAGAUGAAUUCUCAGCCAAGUUCUACAAGACCUUCAAAGAAGAAUUAAUACCAAUACUCCUCAAAUUAUUCCAUGAAAUAGAAAAGGAGGGAACCCUUCCAAAUGAAGCAAGUAUCACCCUGAUACCAAAACCGGAAAAAGACACAUCAAGGAAAAACUUCUGACCAGUAUCCCUGAUGAAGAAAGAUGCAACAAUUCUCAAUAAAAUUCUGGCAAAUGGGCUAGGGAUGUGGCUCAAGCGGUAGCAUGCUUGCCUGGCAUGCGUGCGGCCCAUGUUCGAUCCUCAGCACCGAAUACAAACAAAGAUGUUGUGUCUGCCGAAAACUAAAAAAUAAAUAUUAAAAAAUUCUCUCCCCCCCACUCACUCUUUAAAAAAAAUUCUGGCAAAUUGCAUAUAAAAACAUAUUAAAAGGUUAGUGCACCAUGAUAAAGUGGGGUUGAUUCCAGGGAUGUAAGGUUGUUUCAACAUAUGGAAAUCAAUAUAUGUAAUUUAUCACAUCAAUAGACUUAAAGAUAAGAAUCAUAUGAUCAUCUCAAUAAAUGCAGAAAAAGCAUUUAACAUAAUAUAGCACCCUGCCAUAUUCAAAACACUAGAAAAACUAGGGAUAGUAGGAAUGUACCUUAAAAUUGUAAAAGCUAUCUAUGUUAAGCUCCAGGCCAACAUCAUUCUAAAUGGAGAAAAAUUGAAAGCAUUCCCUCUAAAAACAAGAGCAAGACAGGGAUGCCCCUUUUCACCGUUUUUAUUCAAAAUCAUCUUUGAAACUCUAACCAGAGCAAUUAGACAGAAGAAAAAAAUUAAAGGGAUACAAAUAAGAAAAGAUGAACUCAAACUAUUCCCACUUGCUGAUGACAUGAUUCUAUUUUAAGAAUACCUAAGAUAUUUCACCAGAAAACUUUUGGAGAUCAUAAAUGAAUUCAGCAAGGUAGAAGAAUAUAAAAUUAACAACAGCUUCAUUCCUAUACAUGAUUGAUGAAUUCACUGAAAAAGACAUUAGGAAAACGAACCCAUUCACAAUAGCCUCAAAAAAUACAAUACUUAGGACUCAAAAUUGUUAAAGACAAAGACAAAGGGGCCUAAAAUAUACAUUGGAGAAAAG